rnacentral:rRNA from 1 species
CUUUGCUGACGAGUGGCGGACGGGUGAGUAAUGUCUGGGAAACUGCCUGAUGGAGGGGGAUAACUACUGGAAACGGUAGCUAAUACCGCAUAACGUCGCAAGACCAAAGAGGGGGACCUUCGGGCCUCUUGCCAUCGGAUGUGCCCAGAUGGGAUUAGCUUGUUGGUGGGGUAACGGCUCACCAAGGCGACGAUCCCUAGCUGGUCUGAGAGGAUGACCAGCCACACUGGAACUGAGACACGGUCCAGACUCCUACGGGAGGCAGCAGUGGGGAAUAUUGCACAAUGGGCGCAAGCCUGAUGCAGCCAUGCCGCGUGUAUGAAGAAGGCCUUCGGGUUGUAAAGUACUUUCAGCGGGGAGGAAGGGAGUAAAGUUAAUACCUUUGCUCAUUGACGUUACCCGCAGAAGAAGCACCGGCUAACUCCGUGCCAGCAGCCGCGGUAAUACGGAGGGUGCAAGCGUUAAUCGGAAUUACUGGGCGUAAAGCGCACGCAGGCGGUUUGUUAAGUCAGAUGUGAAAUCCCCGGGCUCAACCUGGGAACUGCAUCUGAUACUGGCAAGCUUGAGUCUCGUAGAGGGGGGUAGAAUUCCAGGUGUAGCGGUGAAAUGCGUAGAGAUCUGGAGGAAUACCGGUGGCGAAGGCGGCCCCCUGGACGAAGACUGACGCUCAGGUGCGAAAGCGUGGGGAGCAAACAGGAUUAGAUACCCUGGUAGUCCACGCCGUAAACGAUGUCGACUUGGAGGUUGUGCCCUUGAGGCGUGGCUUCCGGAGCUAACGCGUUAAGUCGACCGCCUGGGGAGUACGGCCGCAAGGUUAAAACUCAAAUGAAUUGACGGGGGCCCGCACAAGCGGUGGAGCAUGUGGUUUAAUUCGAUGCAACGCGAAGAACCUUACCUGGUCUUGACAUCCACGGAAGUUUUCAGAGAUGAGAAUGUGCCUUCGGGAACCGUGAGACAGGUGCUGCAUGGCUGUCGUCAGCUCGUGUUGUGAAAUGUUGGGUUAAGUCCCGCAACGAGCGCAACCCUUAUCCUUUGUUGCCAGCGGUCCGGCCGGGAACUCAAAGGAGACUGCCAGUGAUAAACUGGAGGAAGGUGGGGAUGACGUCAAGUCAUCAUGGCCCUUACGACCAGGGCUACACACGUGCUACAAUGGCGCAUACAAAGAGAAGCGACCUCGCGAGAGCAAGCGGACCUCAUAAAGUGCGUCGUAGUCCGGAUUGGAGUCUGCAACUCGACUCCAUGAAGUCGGAAUCGCUAGUAAUCGUGGAUCAGAAUGCCACGGUGAAUACGUUCCCGGGCCUUGUACACACCGCCCGUCACACCAUGGGAGUGGGUUGCAAAAGAAGUAGGUAGCUUAACCUUCGGGAGGGCGCUUACCACUUUGUGAUUCAUGACUGGGGUGAAGUCGUAACAAGGUAACCGUAGGGGAACCUGCGGUUGGAUCACCUCCUUACCUUAAAGAAGC